UAGGGAANCUUCCACAAUGGGCGAAAGCCUGAUGGAGCAACGCCGCGUGUGUGAUGAAGGCUUUAGGGUCGUAAAGCACUGUUGUAUGGGAAGAAAUGCUAGAAUAGGGAAUGAUUCUAGUUCGACGGUACCAUACCAGAAAGGGACGGCUAAAUACGUGCCAGCAGCCGCGGUAAUACGUAUGCCCCGAGCGUUAUCCGGAUUUAUUGGGCGUAAAGCGAGCGCAGACGGUUGAUUAAGUCUGAUGUGAAAGCCCGGAGCUCAACUCCGGAAUGGCAUUGGAAACUGGUUAACUUGAGUGUUGUAGAGGUAAGUGGAACUCCAUGUGUAGCGGUGGAAUGCGUAGAUAUAUGGAAGAACACCAGUGGCGAAGGCGGCUUACUGGACAACAACUGACGUUGAGGCUCGAAAGUGUGGGUAGCAAACAGGAUUAGAUACCCUGGUAGUCCACACCGUAAACGAUGAAUACUAGGUGUUAGGAGGUUUCCGCCUCUUAGUGCCGAAGCUAACGCAUUAANUAUUCCNCCUGGGGAGUACGACCGCANGGUU
rnacentral:rRNA from 1 species